ACGAAAUACCGUCUUUAGACGAGGGUCUAAAGAUGCUAAAACGGCACCAGAAAUCGAAGCUGCAGCCGUCCGGAUAGAAAGCUGUUGGAUUCUUCUGCGGACGGCCGAGCAGAGCUGUUCUUCCCCCUUCUUUAGCUCCUAUAAUCAUUUCUUGCUCUGUCUUCUCAAAGUUCAAGCUCUCUUUUAAAACAAAGAUCGGACGCAACAUUUCUUUGUUCUCACCUCCACUUCUCCGCACCGUCUGUUGGGAGUUUCGUCUAUUCUCGGUUCCGACUCUUCACGGUUAGCAUCGUUUCUUUGUUUCUGCUUUGGGCUGAAAGCCGUUUAAUCUGCACCAUCCAGCGGGAAACGAAUCGGGGACUCCAGAAACACCGCAGGGAAAUCCCGCUUGGAGCAAAGCCGGGAAAUUCUGCAACAAAUCCCCUCAAAUAGCCUUUACUUCUCCUGAUGCCCACCCAGCCAAACCCGCUAUUAACAACCACCCGCCCCACGCUUUCCAUCUGCGUGGCUCUUCCAUUCGCAUCGGUGUCCUCUCUUCUAUUUUAGUUUCUUUGCUCCCCUCUCCGCCGACUCUUAGAGCCCGCUGUGUGGACGGAAGCUUGCUAGGUUUGGAAUUAAAAGGUCAUUUCGAGAGGAUUGCCAAGUCUACGUGCUGGGGGGACUCAGCCUUUUAUGCCGCCAUGUGUUGUCUCCGUCCGCUGCCAUAGGAAAGCAGUUGUCCCGUAAUGAGGUACCUUUAAAUUUAAUUUCCUGUCCCUCCUCUGCUUUAUGGAUUUCUAAUAACAAUGUUGGAAACCGGAGAAGAAACCUCUUAAAGUCUCCCGGACUGAGAGUUUACAUAAAUAAUGGAAGGUAGCCGAGCUUAAUUAAGUUUUCCAACAAAUUAAUAGGAUAGGAAGAAAUGCGGUAUUUUGUUUAAGGAGUCACCCAGAGAAGGAUGUAUUUCUGUUGCGUCUUUCCAUAGGAUUCUUACUAAUAUUACUCUUCAAUUUAUUUUUAACUGAUACGUUAUCCAGAGAUUUAAACAUAAUCUCAAAUAAUCCGAAAUGUGUAAACUAAUUAAAAGAUUAACUGGGGGUGAAGGAAAGAAAAAAGACUCUGAGCGCGGCUAAAACUGAGAUUUUUGGACAGAUUUCCCCACGAAAAAAUAAAAUAGGGGAAAAAAAAUAACCGAAUGAAUUGUUGGACCAAUAAAGUCUUGGCAAAGAGAGAAGUUUCGUGUCGGAUAAGUAGAUGCUCGCAUCCGACUGCAGGUUUGCUGGAAGUAUUUUGCCAACUCCUUUUCUUUAAUGCUGUACAACGUUUCCUCCUCCCUUUUACCUGAAUUAUUUCCCGAUGUUUGGCCUUAAUCGCUUCGCUCAAAGCUCCUGUUGCGACUUCAAGUCUUAUUCGAUUAAUUUAGAAGCUUUGCCGCAUCUGUGGAUUAAUUAAAUGAUAUUUCUGUAAGUGAAGCUCCUCACGCCCUCCCCAUCUCAGCGCACGAUGCCGGGUUUGGUGCAGAGCCCCGGGCUGGAGCUGAGAUGGUUCCGAUCGCCCCAAAUUGGGGUCGGCUCUAUGGGGAACAUUACGUGUUCCCUACCUGAACUGUGGGAUCGUUUCGCUUCUGCACACCGUCGGCAUUUCCAGUUCGCCCUGCGAAGAAAUAGAAUUACUGAGAUAGGUGUGAUCGAUUCCCUCCCCGACUUUUUCUUCUUAUUAAUUGGGUUCUCCGGCACCAAAGGGAUUUUUGUCCGGAUUUUUUUCUUUUUCUCCCCGAGGAUUCCGCACGGUUUGGUUUCUCUUAAUUGCGUGGGAAGUGGGUGCGGAUGGAAGGGGCUCCAGGGCGCAGCGGGAUCCAACAUCUCGGGGUUUUCUUUCUGACUGCGGCUCUCCCUGAUCUCAGGACGAAUCCGGACGGUCGCACACCGUGAUUUGGGAACGGCGAGCCGUGAGGGGUGGUGGAAGAGUGGUGAAGCAAAGCAUCCAGGCCAGUCCUGAUGGGGAGGGCCGGGCCGAGGGGCUCCGACUGCCCUCCACUUCGUGUUUUCUUGCCCCGAGAGGAAGUUUUCCCUCGGGAUUCCGCUUCACUUUUUCUCUAGGGUCGCGUUUGAUGCCACUCUCCCAUCUAAGCAGGACUCGGGAUCCCUUCUGCCCCUCGGCACACCUCGCUGCCCUCACCUUCGGGUCCCCACGCUCAACCCGAGCAUUCCCAGCCCGGAAUUCCCAACGUUACAAAGCCUUUUGCUUGGAUCGUGUCUGAGGGCAUCCCCUGGGGAGAGGGCUGCAGGGAAACGACUUUGAUCAUCGCCUUCUUUAAGGCAAAAUGUCACAUUUUUAUUCGCAAACGUCUUUUCUCUCUUUCCUUUUCCCUUCUUUCACUUAAAAAAAAAUAAUAAUAAUAAAA